UCUAAAAUGACAGACAGAUGUGUAAGAUUUAAGCUCUUAUUAGGAAGAAUAUUUCUUCUUUUAGAA
rnacentral:tRNA from 1 species